rnacentral:ncRNA from 1 species
CGAGAGCUUCACGUCGAAGGAGUAGCGACCCACGACGACCCCGAGUCCUGCGUCGGCAUCCGCGAGGCUGCAGGCGAAGCAUGGGACAGGGGCACGUGCGGGCCGGGUAUUGAGCCGCGAAAUCAGGUACUUCAGGGCGCCGACGUCGUUAAGCGAGGCGGAAGGCAAGACGCUCCGAGCCGUAAGCGCGAGGCUCGGUGCGGCCCUGCGCGGUCGAAGACCC